GUGGCCCCAGGUCAGGCGGGACUACCCG
rnacentral:rRNA from 1 species